CACCAAAGCAGUCAAUGGAAAAUAGUCAAAAAGGUCUGUAAAAAUCUUCCAAACGUUAGCAUUGCCAUACCUGCAAAUACUGAAAUCUAGUACAUCAUAUUGAUUAAAAAUACAAUAGCACUUUUUUUCCUAUAUG